rnacentral:tRNA from 1 species
GGAGAGGUGCUGGAGUGGUUGAUCAGGGUCGCCUGCUAAGCGAUUGUUCCGAUUAAUGUCGGAACCGUGGGUUCGAAUCCCACCCUCUCCGCCA